rnacentral:rRNA from 1 species
AACGAACGCUGGCGGCAGGCUUAACACAUGCAAGUCGAACGGGUGCAGCAAUGCAUCAGUGGCAGACGGGUGAGUAACACGUGGGAACCUUCCUAGGGGUACGGAACAACUCAGGGAAACUUGAGCUAAUACCGUAUACGUCCGUGAGGAGAAAGAUUUAUCGCCCUUAGACGGGCCCGCGUCGGAUUAGCUAGUUGGUGGGGUAACGGCCUACCAAGGCGACGAUCCGUAGCUGAUCCUAGAGGAUGAUCAGCCACACUGGGACUGAGACACGGCCCAGACUCCUACGGGAGGCAGCAGUGGGGAAUCUUGGACAAUGGGCGCAAGCCUGAUCCAGCCAUGCCGCGUGAGUGAAGAAGGUCUUCGGAUUGUAAAGCUCUUUUGCCAGGGACGAUAAUGACGGUACCGGAAGAAUAAGCACCGGCUAAAUACGUGCCAGCCACCGCCGUAACAC